AUUUCUGAAAAGAAUAAGCAAAGUCGGAGUUCAGUCCAUUGGAAAAAUUUGGCUGGCAUUCCUCCCCAACCUAGCAACAAGGAGUGCGGGUACUUUAUCAUGCGAUACAUGAGAGAUAUCAUUGAGGAUAAAGACAUGUCAUUGUUUCCUUCCAAGUGGGAGAGGAGAGGCAGUAGCCAAUACACCCAGGCAGAUAUUGAUCAAGUGCGAAAUGAGUGGGGGAAGUUUGUUGUCAACACAUAUGUGCACGAGUCAUGAAGUAGCACACUUGUUGCUGGUACAUUUUAGAUAAGGAAAGCAUCUUUUUUGUGCUUCUCUGCUGGUACAUUGUCAUGCACCAUGUGUGGCAU